GUCCCGUUCUCCACGAUGCAGACGUCUUGGCAGGCCCAGCUAUGGCAAGAACGUGGUCAUGAGCUUGGAAGUAAGAAAAAUAAAGGAUCUCUGGUAUUCUGAUUCUAAAUUGAGCGUCCUUUCCAUAACAACCAUGAUUGCUGGAGUGUGACAGACGCUAUCUGGCUGGCUGACUCAUUUGACCUUCGGGAGCAGGUGAAAGCCAGCUCUUCGAGCCUCGCACGGAGGACCCCCGUUCCUUCCCACUCAAGCUCGUCAUUAAGAAUGGCAUAAUCCAGGAUCGCUAAAAUACCACACUGAUAAGCACAAGCUUUUCUUAAGCUUUACUUCCCUUUUUGGCGUACGGAUUUUCAAAAAUAUUUACUGACAAUAAUAUUUUAAGAUCAUCCUUUCUGAGUUAUUGACAAAUUGGUUAAUUAGUUCUGGAAAUGCUUACUCUGUGGUGAGACGAGAAUGUCUGGCAAAGCCAAGCCAAUGAUGACUAAAUCCGUCUCCAUGGAAGGGAUGAACACGGGAAUGAGAACAGCAGGGCUGUCAGUCUGUGAUGGAGAAGGCGGCAGUAAGUAGCUUGAACGCAAAUUCGCUGAAAGGUAAGAUUGAGAAAAACAGAUUAUGCCAAUUGCUUUGAAUGCUGUUAAAAUAUGAUUUUUCUCAUUUGUUAAAUCUUUGAACAUUUUACAUCUUCGUAGCAGGAACAUUUAUGUCCUUUCCCGGAUAUGGGACACAACUGUGUUAAUAAUGUCAGCCUAGAGAAGGCAGGACGAAUGCAUUACCCUCUAUGGAUGAACUACAUCAGCCAUCUAGUCAUGUUUUUAAAAAUCGGGCUACUGAUGCCCCACCCACCCCCAGUUGCCAGUGUCUUAGGUGGAACCUCAUGAGAAUCCUGGAGAAGCACAGUACUGUGUGUUUUCAUUGUUGGGUUUCAGAUACAAGGUCAACGGUGUACUCUGUCCAUUCGCUGGCUGAGGUGUCCCUCAGAACAGGGCUCACCCUGAGUACCAGCCUGGAGGCUGGAGUAUGGAAAUGAGGCUUCCUGUCCUGGCCCUGGUCACCAAGGACAGAUGCUGAGGAUGAUAAGGAGCAAGAGAGACAGAAAGCCUGGAGUGACCUCGGAAAAAGAGGUGGCGACCUUGAGCACAAGCAAGCUGACGGAGGGUGCUGCAGUCUGAGGUGUGGACGCUCCAGGCAGAUUAUUUCCUAUCUACGGAAAGAAACGAUUUAAAGUGCCAUGUCUAAAUAUAGCCUUAUUAGCCUGGUCACAUGCAACCUAGUCAAUCAGAUUAGAUCUUUUUAUUUCAAACUCUUUCAUUAUUCUUAUUUUAGAGUAAAUCUUCAAGUGCCUUUUCAGCCAUGUUUUCAUUUCUCAUCAGGUCAACCUGAUGCCGUAAGUAUAAUCUGAAACAAUUUUAGACACAUGGACAUUUAAAGAAAAUGUUCCUGUUGACAUUUGAUUUUGCUGUACAUAACUUGGUUACUGGCAGACAUGAAGGAGACGAGUGUGGUGGACAGAAAUUGGCAAGGAGCCCUGGAUGGGAAGAUCUCAGCUCGCCGGCUCUCUCUGUAACCAGCUGAACUUCCAAGGACAGCACAUGACCUCUCAGAGCCUCAGUGUCCUCGCAUAUUGAAUAGAGGCAAUGAUGAAUCUCCUCCUGCGGUUUUGAUUCAAAUACAGAUUAUGAAAGUGUGAUGCCAAAACCAUACUUUCAAAUUUUGAAUGAAUUCAUUUCCUUAUUUAACUCUUCAACGUCUUGUCCUCUUACUUGGAAUAAAAUCUGGCACCUUUCCUAGUGACCUGCAUAACUUGGUUCCCUUCCUGCCCCUCCCCUGUAAUUCCUGGCACCUCCCCUCUUCCACUGGUUCAUCCAGACAGAAGACCACUCUUCUGGCAGCUCUUCCUUCAGCCUGGGUGCUUUGCUCUUGGGUUUUCAUCCUUCAGGACUCAGCGCAGAUGCUGCUUCUGAAGGGGUCUCUCCCCCGACGGGGGGCAGCGGGGGCCACUGACUCAUGGCCUUUCAGGAACAGGUCGUACACCUGUUUGCAGGUGGCUGUCUUCUGGCUGAUCAUCUGGGAUGUAAACCCCUUGCAGACAAGGAUUCUGAUCCUCCUGCUGCUGAGUUUCCAAGAGUCCACAGCAGCUAUAAGGUGUCUAAUAAUGUGUCCCGAAUAAUGAAGCUGCAGUGGCUGUGAAUGCCUAUUUAAAA